rnacentral:rRNA from 1 species
AAUCUUCCACAAUGGGCGAAAGCCUGAUGGAGCAACGCCGCGGGAGUGAAGAAGUAUUUCGGAUCGUAAAACUCUGUUGUAAGGGAAGAACAAGUGCCGUAGUAACUGGCGGCACCUUGACGGUACCUUAUUAGAAAGCCACGGCUAACUACGUGCCACCAGCCGCGGUAAUACGUAGGUGGCAAGUGUUGUCCGGAAUUAUUGGGCGUAAAGCGCGCGCAGACGGUUUCUUAAGUCUGAUGUGAAAGCACCCGGCUCAGCCGGGGAAGGUCAUUGGAAACUAGAGAACUUGAGUGCAGAAGAGGAAAGUGGAAUUAAAAGUGUAACGGUGAAAUGCGUAGAGAUUUGGAGGAACACCAGUGGCGAAGGCGACUUUCUGGUCUGUAACUGACGCUGAGGCGCGAAAGCGUGGGGAGCAAACAG